rnacentral:rRNA from 1 species
UACGUAGGGUGCGAGCGUUAAUCGGAAUUACUGGGCGUAAAGCGUGCGCAGGCGGUGAUGUAAGACCGAUGUGAAAUCCCCGGGCUUAACCUGGGAACUGCAUUGGUGACUGCAUCGCUCGAGUAUGGCAGAGGGGGGUAGAAUUCCACGUGUAGCAGUGAAAUGCGUAGAUAUGCGGAGGGAACACCGAUGGCGAAGGCAAUCCCCUGGGCCUGCACUGACGCUCAUGCACGAAAGCGUGGGGAGCAAACAGG